AUGGGCCAAGCUGUGCUGCAGGAACGUGAGCCUGGCGGCUGGCUGGAGCCGAGACAGGACAGGGAGAGGCUCAGAGGAUCCGAGGACCGUGGGCUCGGAGCUCUGGCGAGGGGGCCUGGGACCCCAUCCAGCCAAGCCACAGAGACUGGACAGAGAGGGGACCUGCCUGGGCUCGUUCGGCCAGCAGGGCCCCCUGUGGCCCCCUUCACUGCAGGAGCCCUCGCCAGAUCCAGGAUGCCACUCAAGGUAGGGGUGGAGGAGCAGAGGGACGGGGAGGGCAGAUUUGGCGAGGGUCGAGCCCGAGGAGGGGAGAAGGAAGCCGGGGUGGAGAGCAGCAGAGGGCAGCCAGGGCCGUCCCCAUGGAGCGCCCCGGGACGCAGAAGUGCCGGCCGCUCUCUCUCCCCCCGUGGGGUCAGAAGGAAGGAGGAAGCACCCCCUCUGAAGGGCUUGGGAGAGUCCCUCCAGUCUGCUCAGUCCAACCAUGGAAGCACGAGCUCGCUGCGUCCUCCAAAGGGACCGCGCGGUGCCGGAUUUCAGCCGUGCCCAGGUUUUCGCCCCACUAGCAGUAAGCAUGGCCCAAGUGCUUCCUCAUCUCAUCCCCAAGGAGAAAGCGCUCGCCUAACUUCCCCCAUGCGAGUCCUCUCCUCCAACAGCACCCCCUGCCUUAGGGGGCAGGCGGCCCUUACUCAGGGAGGACCUGCGAGCACGAGGCACCCGGCUAGGCACAGGGGUGGGACGGAAGGCCAAGGCGGGUGCAGGCCCUCUUCUCAGGCGCUAAGAGGCGGAGGAGGGACAAACGGGCCCGAGACGGGAGAGGCUGAGGGCAGCCUCGGAGAAGGGGAGUCCGAGGAGCCGGAGACCAGGAGGGAGGGCGGCCCAGGCUGGAGCCGGGGUGUCAUGUUCCAGCAAUGGCACAGGGGUCACUUUUCCGGAUCACAGAGCACAUGGCGGGGUAUUAGGUGUAAGAAGGCUGGAAAGGGGCCGGCUGCCGAGGAGGGGCUUUAA
rnacentral:lncRNA from 1 species